rnacentral:rRNA from 1 species
AGUGAACGCUGGCGGUAGGCCUAACACAUGCAAGUCGAACGGCAGCACAGUAAGAGCUUGCUCUUACGGGUGGCGAGUGGCGGACGGGUGAGGAAUACAUCAGAAUCUACUUUUUCGUGGGGGAUAACGUAGGGAAACUUACGCUAAUACCGCAUACGACCUACGGGUGAAAGCAGGGGAUCUUCGGACCUUGCGCGAUUGAAUGAGCCGAUGUCGGAUUAGCUAGUUGGCGGGGUAAAGGCCCACCAAGGCGACGAUCCGUAGCUGGUCUGAGAGGAUGAUCAGCCACACUGGAACUGAGACACGGUCCAGACUCCUACGGGAGGCAGCAGUGGGGAAUAUUGGACAAUGGGCGCAAGCCUGAUCCAGCCAUACCGCGUGGGUGAAGAAGGCCUUCGGGUUGUAAAGCCCUUUUGUUGGGAAAGAAAAGCAGCAGGUUAAUACCCCGCUGUUCUGACGGUACCCAAAGAAUAAGCACCGGCGAACUUCGU